GGGCUCCUACGGGGCGCAGCAGUGGGGAAUAUUGCACAAUGGGGGAAACCCUGAUGCAGCGACGCCGCGUGAGUGAUGAAGUAUUUCGGUAUGUAAAGCUCUAUCAGCAGGGAAGAAAAUGACGGUACCUGACUAAGAAGCCCCGGCUAACUACGUGCCAGCAGCCGCGGUAAUACGUAGGGGGCAAGCGUUAUCCGGAUUUACUGGGUGUAAAGGGAGCGUAGACGGCGCGGCAAGUCUGAUGUGAAAGGCAGGGGCUUAACCCCUGAACUGCUUUGGAAACUGCCAGGCUAGAG
rnacentral:rRNA from 1 species